UCAACGGUCCUUAUCAGGACCACACAUCCUUUGCGGCAGAGUUUC
rfam:Anopheles dirus strain WRAIR2 unplaced genomic scaffold supercont1.578, whole genome shotgun sequence.